CAACCAUACCAUGCUGAAAGUACCAGUUCUCAUCCGAUCACCAAUGUUAACCGUCAUCGGGUGCGGACAGUACUUGGAAGGGUGACCAGAUAGGAACAUCGCA